rnacentral:rRNA from 1 species
UACGUAGGGGCGAGCGUUAUCCGGAAUUAUUGGGCGUAAAGAGUGCGUAGGUGGUCUUGUAAGCGUGGGGUGAAAGGCAGUGGCUUAACCAUUGUUAGCCUUGCGAACUGUGAGACUUGAGUGCAGGAGAGGAAAGUGGAAUUCCUAGUGUAGCGGUGAAAUGCGUAGAUAUUAGGAGGAACAUCAGUGGCGAAGGCGACUUUCUGGACUGUAACUGACACUGAGGCACGAAAGCGUGGGGAGCAAACAGGAUUAGAUACCCUGGUA